GCCUGGGUGGCUUAGUUGGUUAAGCAUCUGACUUUGGCUCAGGUCAUGAUCUCGGGCU
rnacentral:tRNA from 1 species